rnacentral:rRNA from 1 species
GACGAACGCUGGCGGCGUGCUUAACACAUGCAAGGCGAACGGUAAGGCCCUUCGGGGUACACGAGUGGCGAACGGGUGAGUAACACGUGGGUGAUCUGCCCUGCACUUCGGGAUAAGCCUGGGAAACUGGGUCUAAUACCGGAUAGGACCACUGCCUGUAUGGGUGGUGGUGGAAAGCUUUUGCGGUGUGGGAUGGGCCCGCGGCCUAUCAGCUUGUUGGUGGGGUGAUGGCCUACCAAGGCGACGACGGGUAGCCGGCCUGAGAGGGUGACCGGCCACACUGGGACUGAGAUACGGCCCAGACUCCUACGGGAGGCAGCAGUGGGGAAUAUUGCACAAUGGGCGCAAGCCUGAUGCAGCGACGCCGCGUGAGGGAUGACGGCCCUCGGGUUGUAAACCUCUUUCAGCACCGACGAAGCGCAAGUGACGGUAGGUGCAGAAGAAGGACCGGCCAACUACGUGCCAGCAGCCGCGGUAA